UACGUAGGGUGCAAGCGUUAAUCGGAAUUACUGGGCGUAAAGCGUGCGCAGGCGGCUUUGCAAGACAGAUGUGAAAUCCCCGGGCUUAACCUGGGAACUGCAUUUGUGACUGCAUGGUUAGAGUGCGGCAGAGGGGGAUGGAAUUCCGCGUGUAGCAGUGAAAUGCGUAGAUAUGCGGAGGAACACCGAUGGCGAAGGCAGCCUUCUGGGCCAACACUGACGCUCAUGCACGAAAGCGUGGGGAGCAAACAGG
rnacentral:rRNA from 1 species